GGGUACGAGAAAAGUUAUUCAUUUGGAGAUAGACAUUUAUUUGGCCUAUUGAUGCAGAGGAAAUAUUUGAGGAGGUAUUGUUUGACAGGAUUGGGCAGCAAACUUUAAGGGCUCGGAUGUUUUCAACCCGCGCAAAAGAUUUAAAUUGAUUGCGUUUAUCUAUACUAUCGUAUAAAGCAUUUCACAAGGGUUCCAACCAAAUUUAAAUAAUUGCAACAUAUUAUGCUUAUAGUACAACAACUCAAUGAAGUUAGUAAAGGGAAUUAGUCUUUCUACA